AGCAGUAGCCACGGUAAUACGAAGGGGGCUAGCGUUGUUCGGAUUUACUGGGCGUAAAGCGAGCGCAGGCGGUUAGAUAAGUCUGAAGUUAAAGGCUGUGGCUUAACCAUAGUACGCUUUGGAAACUGUUUAACUUGAGUGCAAGAGGGGAGAGUGGAAUUCCAUGUGUAGCGGUGAAAUGCGUAGAUAUAUGGAGGAACACCGGUGGCGAAAGCGGCUCUCUGGCUUGUAACUGACGCUGAGGCUCGAAAGCGUGGGGAGCAAACAGGAUUAGAUACCCGCGUAGUCCCUGUCUCUUAUACA
rnacentral:rRNA from 1 species